UCUACCUCUCUAACCCUCAUCUCUCUAGAACCUUCUCGUUUUCUCUGUCUUCUCCGAUGACGACCAUCGCCUCUCCGGAUCACUCCUCAUUCACUUCUCUUGAUCUCCAGCAACCAUGGAGUCCCUGUAUCGCUAUUUUCUCUCUAAAGUUUGAACCCAGCAGUUUCUACCAUGAAGGAGGUCACUGAAGCUUUAUUUGGGUCUGUUUCUGGCUUUUCUCCGGUGGUCUUUGUACGAUGAUGCCUUCUAUGGCAUUGUAUACGAGUUUCACGUCCAGGUUCUCAUUUCCCUAACUUAUUUUGCAAACCCGAAUUUGCUUUGCCUAAUCUCUUAAACUUCUGUCUUUCUAAGCAAUUUCCGGAAUAAUCUUUGUUCUCUACACUCCAUCUCACUCGAUAUAUUUGGUUAACUCGAAUUUUUUCAAACGUUCUGUACCUUUCUUUCAAAACUAGGGUUUCUGACCCUUUUCAAAGUCGUUAUAUCUCCUACUUUUCUUGAGUAUUAUGUUGUUGUUUGUGUUUAUUUGUGUUACGAUUGUUUAAUUUCCUUGUUAAUUUUGAGUUCCAUGCUCAAACAUUCUGGCUAGGGUUUCUCACCCCUUUUCAAAAUCGUAUAUCUUCUGCUUUUCGUGAAUAUUAUGUGUUCGUUUGUGCUUGUUUGUGUUACUAGUUUGUUUGGUUUCCUUGUCAAUUUGAGUUCCCUACUUUAGUUUCUUGCUAGGUUUCUAACCCUUUGUUGCUUCCAUGAUUCCUUGCUUAGGGUUCUCUGAUUUUCAUGUCUACAAUGCUUUGUAGGUCUAAUAGUUCAUUGCUCAUGUGAUAUUCUACUGAUUUGUGCAUCUUUAGGAAUCCAUGAUUUGUAUAUGAUUUUCCUCAAACGUUUUACAGUGAUUUCUUUUGAAUUACUUCCUUAGUUAGAUAUGCUUUCCUUUCUUAUGAGCAUUCCCUCUGAUUUUUGGUUGUGUCCAUGAUUCUUUGGCUAAUUGAAAGAAUUAAUUUGUAUUCCCUUGCCAUAUUUGUGCUUUCAAAAUCGUCAGCAUAUAUUUUCCAUACUUGAAUUAUUAUAUAUCUAACCCCUAUUGCAUAUUAUGUGCUCUACUACUCUUACUGGGGUGAAUAUAGAGUCUGAUUGAUUCUUUUCCUUUUUAAAUCCACUGCUUGUUACUGUUUGUCUUGGAUUCCUUAAUUUAAAGGAAAUCCUUACACUGAUGGGACUGUGAUUGAUUCUCGUUCCCUAAUUAUAGUUUGGUGCCUUGUUUGUUCACUCGUUUUAGUACUAUAAGUACCCUCCCCCCAUUCUCUUUGAGAAAAACCAACACAUUGCAUAUCUCUCAUACUGAGACAUUACAGUCUCUCUGAACUUUCUUUCAAUAACACUCGGUGCUCUCUAUCUCUCUACUGUUUUGUUUCUUUUCUACAAACUCUCUCACUCAAUCGGUGAAGGACAAGAUUGAGUAAUCUUGGUUGUUUACUUCUGCACUACUAAGGUUCUGCUACAUUUUUUGCUUGGGUUUGCCUGCUGCUCUCUUUGCUGCACACUGCCAUUCUCUCUUUGCUGCACAUUGCUGCUCUUAUUCUCUGCAUACUUUGCACUUUAUUGUGCGCUACUGCUUAUUGUUAUUGUUUUCUCCUGUCUGCAACUGGUAUGUUACCUAUUUAAUAUACAGUUUCCAAAACAACAUGUUUUUACUAGUUUUGCAUUUCUUCUUGUUUCUUGUGUGCUUUUAUCUGUGGUUCUGCUGCUCUUGUUGUCACUAGUAUACACUUGCCAACCUAUUUAGCUUAGAUUAGCAUGCUCCCCUUACCCCUUCCCUGUCUCAAUGAAUGUUUACUUUUCUUUGUGCAUUAUUACUAUGUGUCCAUACUUAGAUUAGAAUGCUCAUAUUACCCCUUCCCUAUCUCAAUGAAUGUUUACUUCUCUUUGUGUAUUAUUACUAUGUGUCCAGGGCUGCUUUUCUACUUGAUUAGCCUAAAACCUCUUCCUAGGGUUAAGUGUAUUGCGGUUUGGUGCAGUAAGAACUGAACCCCUAUUUAUUCUACAACCAUGUCUAGUUGCUGUCUACCAACGUGUUGCCUGUGAUUAGUUUGUUUUGCUUAUUUGUUCCCAUUCCCUUGUCCUUGGUUGUGUGAUGCUCUAUUGGUUUCAAAACUGGUAAGUCUACAUGUUUUUCAGAAGGAUUUUUGUAACUUUUCCAACUAUUUUGUUAAACUCUCUCUCAACUUCUCUUAAACUACUUUCUCGAACUGUUUCUCAACUCUUUCUCUUAAAUUGACUCUCAAUUGUUUUAAAAGUCCUGUCCUAACUUCACUACUCUUAUAACCCUAGGUCCUGCCUCCUUGGUGUAAGCACU
rnacentral:lncRNA from 1 species